ensembl:ncRNA Y71H2AM.28 ncRNA
GAAGGUAUCGAAUCUCGUGUGCAACGUUCACAAGUUCUCGAUCUGUAGCGACGGGUUUCCACAGACAUCUUCUUAAU